rnacentral:sRNA from 24 species
CAACAACGGAAAGGAGGUGAUCCAGUGUCUCAUUGUCAUCAGCCGCGGUCGUCGGCGGACUUGGCCUGGAUCGUCGCCUCCGGCCUUUGCGCCUGAGCGCCGAUUGAGGAAGCCGCCGGACCGCGGUCCGGCAAUGGAAGGGCCGCUCCGGAAACGGAGCGGCCCU